rnacentral:rRNA from 1 species
GUGCCAGCAGCCGCGGUAAGACGAAGGUCCCAAGCGUUGUUCGGAAUUACUGGGCGUAAAGGGUGCGUAGGCGGCGCGGAAAGUCAGAUGUGAAAGCCCCGGGCUCAACCCGGGAAUGGCAUCCGAUACUCCCGCGCUCGAGGACUGGAGAGGAGUCUGGAAUUCACGGUGUAGCAGUGAAAUGCGUAGAUAUCGUGAGGAACACUAGUGGCGAAGGCGAGACUCUGGACAGUUCCUGACGCUGAGGCACGAAGGCCAGGGGAGCGAAGGGGAUUAGAAACCCCUGUAGUCC